rnacentral:tRNA from 1 species
UCAAAUUAAAGCUUUAUAAGUAUUUCAUUUACAUUGAAAAGAUUUUAUUAAAUUUAAAUAAUUUGAA